rnacentral:tRNA from 1 species
CUGGGGAUAUAGCUCAGCUGGUAGAGUGUUUGCCUCGCGGGCACAAGACCCUGGGUUCAAUCCCUGGCACCAGA